CAGGAUUAAUACCCCUCGAAGACAAGGAGGACUUGGGCCAAUAAGGAUUCCACUUCUUUCAGAUUUGACCCAUCAGAUCUCAAAGGACUAUGGUGUAUACCUAGAGGACUCAGGCCACACUCUUAGAGGUCUCUUCAUUAUUGAUGACAAAGGAAUCCUGAGACAAAUUACUCUGAAUGAUCUUCCUGUGGGUAGAUCAGUGGAUGAGACACUACGUUUGGUUCAAGCAUUCCAGUACACUGACAAACACGGAGAAGGUACCUCUCCCUUCUAACCUUUUGAUUUUUUAGUUUGAAAGAUAGCAUAAUUAGUUAGGUUUCUUAUCGUAAAAGUAAUCGAUAUUUCCAAAGUUUUCUGAUUAUUUACAAAUUAUUAGCAGAUCCUUUUAACAGACCAAAUUAUAAUUUACAGUGCUUUAACAAAAUAUCAGGCCAGGCAUGGUGGCUCAUGCCUGAAAUCCCAGCAUUUUGGGAGGCCAAGGUAGGAG
rnacentral:lncRNA from 1 species